ensembl:lncRNA
CAACUCCCAGACACCCUAGCGAGGGUUCCUGCCCUCCAGUACUACAUCUCCCAGAUGCCCUCGCUCCCAGAGCCCGGAGCUCCCGCGAUUUAGUCUCAGGCCGGGGCGGGGACCUGGUUGCCAGCCGGCGGGCGGAGCUCCGUGUCCUUGCGUUACCGCAGACCGGCGGAGCUCGGCGACCAUGGGUUCCCGCGUGUGGCCCCUGCUCGGGUUUUGCAUUAAGGCCGGCUUGGCAGGUGGGUCCGUGUACUUCGUUUACGAUCAGGGGCUGCUGGGGUCCAGUUACGAGGGUCAGGCUGCCUUACGAAGGGCCCAGGAGAAAAUCCCAGCGGCCUUCCACCACUACUCAGAGAUACUCGCCAAGCUCUUGGGCAUCCAGUUGGAGGUCCCAGCCGUUCCACAUGUCAAGUUUAACUUCCGAGACAGCUGGAAUUCAGGCAUCAACAGCUUGAUGAGUUCACUGUCCACCGCCCCUUCAACCAUCCAGACGUACGGUUAUGAAGGCUGGAACUAUCUGAAGGGCCAGAAGUGAAGCUCCGAGCCCUGGGGCCGGUGUCGGGGUAAUGGUGGUGAAGAGGGCUUGGGUUUGAGGAGCUGUGGGAUGACAUUGUCCCUGUGAGCGCAGCUUGUCACCAGGCCCUGCCCAAAUAAAGGACUUGAGAACGCUUUCUCACCCUGUGUGUAAUGGUUGGGGUGGGAGGCUCGGUGUGCCCUUUGUGCCCACACGGUUUCCUUCCUCAGUGCCCAGCUUGGUGGGAUUUGAGCAGAGGUGGCAGCAUUGGUGUGAAUCCCCUGGGCAGCCUGUCCAGGAUAGUCGGCCACACCAACAGGCAUUGGGCUUUGGCCAGUGCCAGAAGGACCGCCCUGGGCCCGCUGCCCCCACUGUUCUGUGCCACCCACAGCUGAAUGGGUGGAGAGAGUUGGUUGGUGCCCGUGCCUUCCUGGGUACUCGGUUACAGGAGCCCAGACUUCUAGUCCAGUCCAGCUCCCUCACUUCCCAGAGGAGUCAAUGCAGAAAGGCCUCUCCAGCAGCUCUGGCUCAGCACUGGCACCCAAGGUGGCAGGGAAGGGUCCAUCCACGAGAACCUUUUCACCCCAACCCUUGUAUACCUGCCCAGUAAGAGCAUUUCUCGGGCAGGCCUCUGCAGAACCCCCAGAGGGCUCAGGACCUCCCUCUGGGCUUGAAGUGUUGUGUUGCCAGCCCACAGCCCCUAAGCAAGCAGUCGGUCUUCUCCCCUCUGGUUACUCUGCUGGCCAUCUGCUCUUCCCAGGAGAAGUGUUGUUCCUAGUGUUUCCUGCUCCUUACGUAAAAUGCUUCUUGGAUUUGAAAGGCUUGUACAAGUGGCAGUUGUUUAUCAUUUAUAAAGUGCAUUCCUCACAUGAAACAGAUUCCGUUUUAUUGUCAGGAAAUCGUUUCAUAGUCCACAUAGCCAAGGGGUGUCGCGGCUCCUGGUUGCAAGCCCAGAACUCCGACGCUGCUCUAGGAUUCAGCUGCGAGGUCACAGCUGGGUAGAAACAGAUCUUGCAGGCUGUCCACUGGUCUAGGGAACCCUGCAUGUUACUGCGUUGUCUGCUGCUUUUGUGAAGGGCUUCCUAGCCCCAUCCUGACCUAGAUGGGGCCUCUGGGCUGCCAGUUUGAUCCCUCUGCCGUAAAGCUCUUAUGCUCACAAGCUCACUGUCUGAUGAGGGGAUGAGGCAGCCACGGGGCAAAUGGUGAAACUAGUACUGCCUUGUGAGUCAGCUGACUUGUGUUCAAAUCCUGUCUCUGAUGCUAACGGUGUAGCCCUGGGCAAGUCACUCAACCCAUCUGUAAAGUGGGCACAUUACUACCAGGAAUACCUAGCUUAAGGUGUGGUGAGGAUCCCUUGUAGUUGUUUGUGGGUAAAGAACCUGGCAGCCUUUACAGCCCUGCUUUUAUGUAAACCCUCUUUGUUAUAAGUAGAUCAGUGGCAGGAGGCAAAAUAACAUGAAAGAAAUCUGUCUCUUCUUUCUUUCCUGCCCAGCUGGGGAGUCCGAGGUAGUCAGAGAUCAUGAAUAUGGACCUGGCCUAUACAAUAAAUAUUACAGGCUGAGACUGGAGGAGGAAUCUUCUGGACCAUAUGGAAUUAGUGGUGACCUUUAAGGAGGGUUUCUAGGGAAGGUUUUAGGGGAGAGCUUUGAUUUCCAGUUGGGAAGCCCAGCCUUGCAGCCUUUAGUUGGGCCCUAGAGAG